rnacentral:lncRNA from 1 species
CAGGUUACCAUAUGGAAGUGCAGAUCCAAUGGGGAGAGAGAACGAGGUUCCCUUGUCCCAUUCUGCCCUGCAGUGCCGAGGCAUUAUAGAGUAAUCAACAGAAGCAAGUUGCUUUAGAUUCAGACAUUACCUGGAUUCCCAAUCUUUCAAUCCAUGAUACUUGGGCAGGUUGGAGAACACUCUAGACAGAGGAAAGCAUGGGAUGCUUUGAGACCACAAAGAAGAGGUGUGAAUACUAACUGAUAAUUACCAAAAAGCUACUAAGCAAAGAUGACACCUGUGCUGAAUCUUAACAGGUGAGUUGUCCAGGUGAAGCUGUAGAAAAGCCAUUCCAAGCACAGGGGAAUAAGAAGAGUUCAUAGAAUUGCAAAUAAUUCUUGGUAGAGUUUGGAGAGGGCUAAAGUGUUUGGACAUUCUCUGGUAGACAAAGGACAACCAUCAAAUGGCCAUUAGCAAGACAACUGUAUGAUUAAUCUUAGGUACUUCUGAAGGACCAAGACAUCAACUGGGGAGGAAAUUGUACUUUCAUUGCAAUUCUGUCCCAACAAGAAACUAUCUUCCCUUGAAUAAAACCUUCAAAAUUCUUGGCACCUCCCUUGGAUUCAGACAUUACAAACAGGAAACUCUACCCAUGAACUAACCUUCGCCCUGUCCUUUCCUGAAACAAAGAACAGCUGUUCUCCCACUUCCAUGUGUCUGGAGGAAAGAAGGGCCCCUGGUAUUCUCAGCUGACUUCAAAGAAAUGACUUGACUUUGUACAGAUCAGUCACAGGGACACACUGAUGACAUUUUAUUGUCAAUGUACUGAGACAUUUUAGUUUUUACAAGUAUUUGUCUGUGAUAGGGUGCAGUUGACACAGACAGAGGAUACACCCCGGAUCUUAGCUGCUGCAGAGAAAAUAUAAUUCAUUCCUUGGAACAGGGCCUGAACUCUGAAGAAAUUAAGCAGUAGGGAUGUGUUAAGUGCUCUCUCUCUCUAAUUUUUAGGACACAAGCCCAUGCACACAUCAGCCAAGCCUCUGGAACAGCUUCAGCUAUUGUUUAUGGUGUGGGGACUCCCAACUAUAGCUUCAUUGCUGGUGGCCUUAAUGUCUUUGAGCUCAUUAAGAACCAGUGCUGACAACAGGAGAUCUCCGGGCAAAUAAGGCUAUCGUAUUGUUAAAAAGGUCAAACACCACAAAAACCAAAGGACAAGUGCAAGCCUAAGCAUAGAUAAGUAUUUAUAGGGGAAAUUAAUUUCUUGUCUGAUGGCCAUGGACUAGGGGAUAGAGAAAACUGAGUCUUUCAUAUGUGAAAUUCAAUCUCUAUCAUAUCCUGAUACCUAUAAAACUCACCAUAUGAAGCUAAUAAUUGAUAUAUAAAACUAGUAUUUUCCAUUUUUUUCUUCUUUAUUUUGUAGGUUUUAUGUAUUAUAAAAAAACAUGAUUAAUUGUCAGUGGUUAGAUCUCUGGCUAGUUUUUAUUUCAGCUUUGGUUUCUCUUGCUAUAUUUCUCAUAAAAGGUAUUAAUGUGGAUUAAAUACAUUAAGUCAUGUGCAAUGGGAAGUUCCUCUUUUCUAGAGGUCUCAGAACAGGCCCAAUAGAGUUUAUGCCAAAAAGCCCACAUUCUGUAACGAGAUGGUAGCUUCGGGGACCCCAUAAUAUGGAAGUGGUUCUACCCAGGUAAUACCAC